rnacentral:rRNA from 1 species
GACGAACGCUGGCGGCAGGCUUAACACAUGCAAGUCGAGCGCCCCGCAAGGGGAGCGGCAGACGGGUGAGUAACGCGUGGGAACGUGCCUUUUGGUUCGGAACAACUGAGGGAAACUUCAGCUAAAACCGGAUAAGCCCUUCGGGGGAAAGUUUACGCCAAAAGAUCGGCCCGCGUUAGAUUAGCUAGUUGGUGGGGUAAUGGCCUACCAAGGCGACGAUCUAUAGCUGUUUUGAGAGGAAGAUCAGCCACACUGGGACUGAGACACGGCCCAGACUCCUACGGGAGGCAGCAGUGGGGAAUAUUGGACAAUGGGCGCAAGCCUGAUCCAGCCAUGCCGCGUGGAUGAAGAAGGCCCUAGGGUUGUAAAGUCCUUUCGGUGGUGAAGAUAAUGACGGUA